CCUACGGGAGGCAGCAGUGGGGAAUAUUGCACAAUGGGGGAAACCCUGAUGCAGCAACGCCGCGUGAGUGAUGAAGGUCUUCGGAUUGUAAAGCUCUGUCUUUAGGGACGAUAAUGACGGUACCUAAGGAGGAAGCCACGGCUAACUACGUGCCAGCAGCCGCGGUAAUACGUAGGUGGCAAGCGUUAUCCGGAUUUACUGGGCGUAAAGGGAGCGUAGGCGGAUAUUUAAGUGGGAUGUGAAAUACCCGAGCUUAACUUGGGAGCUGCAUUCCAAACUGGAUAUCUAGAGUGCAGGAGAGGAGAAUGGAAUUCCUAGUGUAGCGGUGAAAUGCGUAGAGAUUAGGAAGAACACCAGUGGCGAAGGCGAUUCUCUGGACUGUAACUGACGCUGAGGCUCGAAAGCGUGGGGAGCAAACAGGAUU
rnacentral:rRNA from 1 species